CCCGGGGCAGGGGAGCCGUCACGAGGGUGCUCCGCGUCCAGCCGCGCAAGCCGGACCCUCCGCCCCCCGCCCCGCGCCCUUGGACCCCCCUCGCCUGAAGAAGGUGCUUCCCCCGCGCGGCAGCCGUGGGCCCCGCUCGCCCCAACCCCAUUUUGGUCUGUUCACGUGUCCGGGCCCUCAUUCGUUCCCAAGGCCGGCAGGGCUGCCGCACGGGGCCUGGACACUGAGAGAUCUUCCCGUGGCCUGGCCGACUCCUCAGUGCUCACCUCGACCCCAAUGCCACCCCUCAGAAACGCCUUCCCUCCACAACCCCCUUCCUCACGUCCCCAGACAGUGCACACCGUGUGCGUGGUUCCUCUCUGGAAGACAGGCCUUAGCUCUUUCCUUCUUUCCUGCCCUCAUCAGGAACAAUGGCAAGGCAUGCCACCAGGAGCUGGGAGGUGGUCCCCAGAGGCCAGAUCUUCCCUAUGUCUUCUGUCCGCCAUCAGUCCCCACAACCAGACCUGCUCCCAGGCCUCUGCCUCCCUUGCCCAGGAGGAGAAUCAGCAAGAAGUAGGAUUCGCAGUCCAGUUAUCAGAAAGGGGGAAAUUAACCUGAUUACCCAGCUCCAGUCUGGGCCGGACGCUGAAUGAACUAGUAAUCUGAUAGAAAGUUUGCAAAAUUAGGGGUAUUUCUUCUUCUGGUGGGAGAUAUCACUGUGUAUCAGGUGGCUGGGGUUUUAGUCUCUGUGCUCUAGCCAUUAACGUGCUGUGUGAUUUGGGGCAAGUGACUUGCCUUCUCUGGUCCCUGCUUCCUCCUCUGUAAAAUGGUCUGUAAGUCCCCUUGUGUUCUCAUACCCUAAGAGCUCUCUGGGUACCUGUUGUCUUCGUUCAUUCAUGUAGGACUUGUGGGGUGUUUGAGCCCAGGUCCUUUUUUCUCCUCUGGAGUCAGAGGGAAAGUCACACCACAGCAUGCCCCCAACCAAAACCCUCCACGACCUCCUGUCCCAUUUAGAGUAAUAUCCUCACUCCUCACUGGGGUAUAGGCCCUGCCUGAUCUGGUGCCUGCACUCUGACCUGUUAGAGUCCUCUAACACCACACUCUGUGCUGGGACCCACCUACAUCUGUCGUGGCCUCCCGCCAGAGCCCAAACCUCUGCUCACCUCGGGGGCCUUUGCACUUGCUAGAACCUCUGCUUGGCGCUUUUCCCAGUUUCCUCCAAGACUGGCUUCUUCUUACCCAACAGGUCUCAGAUCAAAUGUUGCCUCCUCCAAGAAGUCCUCCCUGACUACCUAUAAUCCCCAACCCCACUCCACUUCAAGUCUCCUUGUCAUCACCCUAGGAUUAAAAAAAAAAAAAAGACUUUAAGUAACUUUUUUUAAAGUAAACUUUUAAGUAAAAUGUAAUAUCCACAGACCACACGCAUGCCUAUGUGUCAUAAGAGUACGGAUGUUGGGUUUUCACAAACCAA